rnacentral:rRNA from 1 species
AUUGAACGCUGGCGGCAUGCCUUACACAUGCAAGUCGAACGGCAGCACGGGAGCAAUCCUGGUGGCGAGUGGCGAACGGGUGAGUAAUAUAUCGGAACGUGCCCAGUCGUGGGGGAUAACGCAGCGAAAGGUGUGCUAAUACCGCAUACGAUCUACGGAUGAAAGCGGGGGAUCGACAGACCUCGCGCGAUUGGAGCGGCCGAUAUCAGAGUAGCUAGUUGGGGGGGUAAAGGCCCACAAGGCGACGAUCUGGAGCUGGUCUGAGAGGACGACCAGCCACACUGGAAACGAGACACGGUCCAGACUCCUACGGGAGGAAGCAGUGGGGAAUUUUGGACAAUGGGCGCAAGCCUGAUCCAGCAAUGCCGCGUGCAGGAUGAAGGCCUUCGGGUUGUAAACUGCUUUUGUACGGAACGAAACGGCCCUUUCUAAUACAGGGGGCUAAUGACGGUACCGUAAGAAUAAGCACCGGCUAACUACGUGCCAGCCGCCGCCGUAA